rnacentral:rRNA from 1 species
UACGUAGGGGGCUAGCGUUGUCCGGAUUUAUUGGGCGUAAAGAGCGUGUAGGCGGCCAGGUAGGUCUGCUGUGAAAACUCGAGGCUCAACCUCGAGACGUCGGCGGAAACCAUCUGGCUAGAGUCCGGAAGAGGAGAGUGGAAUUCCUGGUGUAGCGGUGAAAUGCGCAGAUAUCAGGAAGAAUACCCGUGGCGAAGGCGGCUCUCUGGGACGGUACUGACGCUGAGACGCGAAAGCGUGGGGAGCGAACAGG